UGACAAAAUGUCUGCAUUGAGAAGCUUA
rnacentral:piRNA from 1 species